CCAUGGAAGACCUUGGGAAAUGUUUACAGGUUUCAAAUUUGGUGUUUGCCAAGUAUUGCAAAACAUCUACCCCUCCUCACUACACACUUGUACUCCUGUUAAAAUACAUUACUGUGCUUGAAGGUGUCCAGUCUUCUAUUGUCUUGCAUAGUAGCACAGGCGAGCUUGGUGAAGGUAGGUGGAAUCAGGGUGUGUUUUCAGCAACAAGUGAGCAGAGGAGCUGAGCGGGUGGUUCUGAGCAAAGGGCCCGAGAAGUGACAGCAGAGGGGGAGUGAUGCCGAAACGAUAAUAUUAGAGUACACAGAGUAAUGCACAGCUGCCAGGUCACACAAUUUGAGAACUGCUUCAGAACAGUCAACUCUUCCACGCUGUUGCUAAGAGACGGGGGAGGUGGGGAGGCAUUCAUCCCUUGAACAAAAGGGAGGGGAAAAACACGAACAGACAUGAACUCUAAGUUUUGGAAAUGAUUUCAUGGACUCCUAUUUUCUGAACGUUAGUGUCUUUGGAGACAUUUUCAUGUGUUGAGUUCCUACUGUGUGCUAUGUGUGGCUCAAGGCACUGGGGAGAGAGCAGUGGACAAAGUCCCUGUUUUCAUGGAGCUUCUAUUGGAUUUGGUCUUCUCCUUUGAUGUUGAGGGGACUGACUGAGGUCCUCAGAAGGGAAGAACUUGCCUAAGAACUGAAGGCAACCUAUUGGCAAAGCUGAUAUUUGAAUCCAGGCCUCCUAAAUCCAAGAUCGAGACUUUUUCCAUAUACUACAUUUUACAAAAGAGAUUCAUCUGCAGCAGAUUUUAACGUUAGCUAGGACUUAAGUACCUCAGCUAGGUCAAGGUCCAUUCACUGGAGAUUUCUGCAAAUGAGUCCAAAAAAAUGAUGUUUUUUUAAUUUCAAGUGUCCCACGGAGAAGUUUCAUAUUUAUUCAGAGUCCUUGUCUUCCAUUAUUACACCUAGUUGAAUGAAACUGUAUAGUAUGAAAGGAGGUAGGGAGAAUCAAAACAGGAAAAAGAUUUGGGUAUCUCAUAACUGCUGAAAAUUAGCAAGACAUGGAAGUCAAGAGAUCUGGGUGCAGAAGCAGUUUCUACUUCUUCCUACCUGUGACCUUACCUCUUUAGGCCUGUUUUCCCACCUAUAACAUGAGGGAUUGCAUUAUAAUAAUCUCAGCAUUCUUCUCCAGCUCUAAAUUUAUGAUGAGUCACCCAACAGUGCCAUGCAGUGAAAAUAGCCCUAAGGCCCUAAGAUGUAAUUUCAGAGAGUGACUGUGGUUCAAAGAUGAAAAACUGAGUGUUAAUUGCCCCUUCUCCUGUGCUCCCAUGGUCCUAGGGCAGGGUGCUGCUGUAGUGCACAUUCUGCUGUGCAUGCUGAGAAGCUGGCUCCGGGUCUGCACCAGCAGAAAGGUCUGUGCUUAUGGAGGGUGAGCACUGUGUCCUGUGCACUGCCACGUGACUGUUUUUGUAGGCCUUUCUUCCCAUCAGACCAUGACUACUUUGAUGGCAGGGACCAUGUCUUAUUUAUCCUUCUGCCUUAGUGCCUGCCGCUGAGUAGUCUGUAGAUGUUUACAGAGUGAAGGAAUCAAUGAAUAAUGACUGAGUGAGAAAACUAUACUUUUUCAGGGUCAAUAAAGGAAAUAGCACAAGAGAAUCUCCCCUGAUAAACUUGUCAAAGUGAUCCCAGAAUUAAACAUUCAGGCUGGAGAGGUUAUUAGUGACUUGCUUAAGGCCACAUUGUUUAAAAGCAGCAAAGCUAGGACUCCUUUCCUCUCUCCUUUUCUUUCUUUUAUUCAGUACCCCAAAAGGGUGUUUGGCUCCAGCAUUGAACACAGGUGACUUUGAAUAACAAUUUAUCGGAACAAGAUGAAUUUUGAAGCAGGUAGGAGGGUGGCUUUUGAGUCUGACAGAUGUGGGUUCAAAUCCUCUGGGGCCGCUGACUAUCAGUGUGAUCUAUGGCAACUUAACCUCCCGGAAGCUCAGUUUCCUCGUGUGAAAAGUAGAAGUGAUAACAUCUCCACCAUCUCCCUUGCAGGCUGCUUCUGUGGGGUCAUUUGAAGGCUUAUGGUUAACCCAGAUAAGAGGUAGGAUGGGAGUUUCUAACACAAGUCUCUUACUGUCCUGCACGAUUUGUUGCUUCAGAGAAAUGGGGUCUUCUCUAUCUUUUUUGAAAUUCCAUUGUUGGCUUAGACAAUGAGUAGCCUUCUGUGUAUGUGAUGUACAUUCUCCCCCAGACCUACUGUUAUGUAUUUUCCAGCCUACUGAGGUAGUCCAGGCCCAUUCACUAUACACAUCAGUGUGUGCUGGCUUGUGUUUUUACCCUUUCUGCAGCUACAGCCUGAACUAAGACUGGGUCCUUGCAGCUCUCCAACACAUGAUUGCUGCCUGCCAGAACCACAGACCUUUCUCGGGACUGGCACGAAUUUCAGCCAACAGAGCCUGCACAGAAACACAUGGAAAAGGCUUCCGGUGGAGCUUACUGUGAGUCACAGACAGCCAUAGUUGCACUGGAUAGAGAGCUGGCAGAUGCCAUCAGCAUAUGCCCUUAGAAACUUUGGUUGUUUUGUGGCCUGGAGAAGAGCCCAGAAUUAUGGAGCCUAAGAGGCAGCACCUCUGCUUUCUGAAGAGGAAGCCGUAGUGCCGUGGACUUCACCACGUGCACAGUGGCUGCAUCCAGACCUGAAUGCCCCUCUCAUUACUCACCGGAAGUGAGCUUUGAACACUUCACACAGGAAGAUGACUCGCUCCUCCAACAAGAUGCAGAAAGUCUUUCCAAGCAAAUGACUUGAAGUGUUUAAAUAUUCUGUUUCUUAGUCUGCUUUUUUUCUGUUAAAUCCUUCAGCUUGAAUGAGCACCUUUAUCUGCAAAUUGAUCUGGUUGUAGCAUCCCUUGACCAUGUAGGUGGAUUUUUAAUUUGUACUUAAGGCCAGUUACAAUAUGCCAUCUGCAACUCUGCUCCCUUUAUGCUCCUGUAGCACUGCUAUAGAGAGGAAGGGUUUGUCGUAGCAAUGGGAAAUAAAACAAUGAGCAUACAACUUUUACAAUUGGAAAUGAAGAAGCAUAAAAAAAAAUAACGGCUGAUAUUUGUUAUCGGUCAGGCCUGAGUAUGAGAAUUAUGGGUCUCUAACAUGCCUGAAUUAGCAAGAGGAUGAAAUUGCAAGAAGGCAGGCUGGAGAACAACCUCUUGACCCCACUCAGCAUUUUGGAGCAUGGCAGCUUAACAGAUCCAACACAGAAAACAAGGGAAUGGGUUAGUCUGGUGCUCAUUCUCAAAGGUAGAUGUGUCUGAAGUGAGAACUCUUGUUUGCAUUCUCUGGAACCAAGUAGGGAUCUGUCAUCUUUUGGGAAGAUCUGUCCUUCCUCAGCAGGUGUCCCAUCAGCAAGGACAAAAUCUGGAACCCAGAUUCCAGGGAAAGAAACUAAGAAGAGCUAGGCAUGGAUCCAGGCCAUUCAACAAUAGGCUAGGGACAACAGCAGGCUCUGAGCUCAGGGAAGGGACGCUUGGGCAGAAACUAGUCUUACGGGAUUGGGGAAGGUAGCACAGUAUCACAGGGAGAGCAUGUCUUUGGACUUGAAGAGACAUAGAUUAUAAUCCCAGUUUUGGUGCUUACUAGCUAUGUGAUUGCAGGUAGGUCAGUUUCCUUCAUGGGACUCAUCUGCAAAAUAAUUCUUACAGAGGCAUCAUAAUACCCAAGAUCAUAGUCAAAUAAACUUGGAAUAGAAACUCUGGCCCAUCAUUUAUGAACCAUUAGUUCCUUAACUUUUGUCCUAACCUUCCUUAAGCCUCAGUUUUCCUAUCUGUAAAAAGGAGAUAAGAUUACUUAUCUUAGAUCUAGUGUGAGGAUUAAUUGAAACAUUGCAAGUACAAUACUCAGCAUAAGGCUCAGAACACAGAACACAUUCCAUAAAUGGUGCUAUGAUUGGUCCUGGGAUAUUGGCUCCUGGUCUGGUUGGCAGUGAAGGCAAGGAAAACAUGUGUGUGGGAUAUGCUGACAGUUUAGGGGAUGUCCUAGAGUUUCCCAUAGUUGUCCCAGUCAGUUUGAUCUUGGUAUUAUGCACUAGGCUGUGUACUGUUUGGCCCCAGUUAAGAUUCCAGGUCUGAGAACAUUUUUGAAGCCCCUAGAUGGA
rnacentral:lncRNA from 1 species